GACGAACGCUGGCGGCGUGCCUAAUACAUGCAAGUCGAACGCAGUGGGGACGGGUGAGUAACACGUGGGUAACCUCCCAUCAGAGGGGAUAACACUUGGAAACAGGUGCUAAACCGAUACUGAUGGAUGGAUCCGCGGUGCAUUAGCUUGUUGGUGGGGUAACGGCUCACCAAGGCCACGAUGCAUAGCCGACCUGAGAGGGGGAUCGGCCACACUGGAACUGAGACACGGCCCAGACUCCUACGGGAGGCAGCAGUGGGGAAUGUUCGGCAAUGGGCGAAAGUCUGACCGAGCAACGCCGCGUGAGUGAAGAAGGUUUUCGGAUCGUAAAGCACUGUUGUUGGAGAAGCGGUAUCUGACCAAGAAGCCACGGCUAACUACGUGCCAGCAGCCGCGGUAAUAC
rnacentral:rRNA from 1 species